GUUUGAUCCUGGCUCAGAUUGAACGCUGGCGGCAGGCCUAACACAUGCAAGUCGAGCGCGAAAAUUCCUUCGGGAAUGAGUAGAGCGGCGGACGGGUGAGUAACGCGUAGGAAUCUGCCCGGUAGUGGGGGACAACAGUCGGAAACGACUGCUAAUACCGCAUACGCCCUAAGGGGGAAAGCAGGGGAUCUUCGGACCUUGCGCUAUCGGAUGAGCCUGCGUCGGAUUAGCUUGUUGGUGGGGUAAUGGCCUACCAAGGCGACGAUCCGUAGCUGGUCUGAGAGGAUGAUCAGCCACACUGGGACUGAGACACGGCCCAGACUCCUACGGGAGGCAGCAGUGGGGAAUUUUGGACAAUGGGCGCAAGCCUGAUCCAGCCAUGCCGCGUGAGUGAAGAAGGCCUUCGGGUUGUAAAGCUCUUUCGCAAGGGAAGAAAACGGCAAGGUUAAUACCUUUGUCGGCUGACGGUACCUUGACAAGAAGCACCGGCUAACUACGUG
rnacentral:rRNA from 1 species